CCUACGGGAGGCAGCAGUGGGGAAUAUUGGGCAAUGGGCGCAAGCCUGACCCAGCAACGCCGCGUGAAGGAAGAAGGCUUUCGGGUUGUUAACCUUUUUUUAUAGGGACGUAGCAAGUGACGGUACCUGAUGAUUAAGUCACGGUUAACUACGUGCCAGCAGCCGCGGUAAUACGUAGGUGGCAAGCGUUAUCCGGAUUUACUGGGUGUAAAGGGUGUGUAGGAGGGAGUGCAAGUCAGAUGUGAAAACUAUGGGCUCAACCCAUAGCCUGCAAUUGAAACUGUACUUCUUGAGUGCUGGAGAGGCAGUCGGAAUUCGGGGUGUAGCGGUGAAAUGCUUAGAUAUACGGAGGAACACCAGUGGCGAAGGCAGAUUACUGAACAGUAACUGACAUUGAGGCGCGAAAGCGUGGGGAGCAAACAGGAUUAGAUACCCCGGUAGUC
rnacentral:rRNA from 1 species